AUGGAAAUUAUUUUAGAAACUGUAUCUUUCUCUUAUGCAAGGGUUGUCACUGCAGAAAUUCAUGAAGGUGGUCAUGGUCUUGCUGAUAAUGCGCAAGAGGUUGAGGUUGCCGCUACAGAAAUUGAUGAAGGUAAUGAUGUCAAUAUUUUAGAUGAAGAUCAUGAUCCUAAUAUUUCGGAUGACAUGAAUAAUUCCGUUCAGCCUGAUAUAUUUGAUCCUAGAAAUUGGGAUGGACUUGCAAAUGAGGGUUUAAGUGACUGGAUUCAUCUUGGGGCUAGACUAAAAGAGCAUGAAUCAAGUAGAGAGCAUAUCACAAAUAUGACUGCAUGGUAUGACUUCCGUCUCAGGAUGCAGAAGAAUCAAACAGUUGACAAAGUUGCUCAGCGAGAACUUGAAAAGGAAAAGGAGCAUUGGAGAAAAGUUUUGCUCAGGAUUUUGUUGAUUGUAAAAUUUCUUGCAGAACAUAAUAUAGCAUUUUGUGGCAGCAAUAGCAAGUUGUACCAAGAGAGCAAUGGGAAUUUUCUAGGACUGAUUGAAAUGUUGGCUGAAUUUGACCCAGUUAUCAAAGAGCAUGUUGACCGCAUCACCAAUGAAAAAAUUUGUGAUCACUACCUUGGCCCUUCUAUACAGAAUGAGUUAAUAAACAUGCUCGCUACUGCCAUCAGGUCAAGAAUCAUUGAAAAGGUAAAGGAAGCAAAAUAUUUCUCAGUUAUUCUUGAUUGUACUCCUGAUGCAAGCCACCAAGAACAAAUGUCUUUGAUAAUUAGGUAUGUAGAUACAUCUUCUGCUUCUGUUUGCAUCGAAGAAUCUUUCUUAGGCUUUUUGGAGGUGAAUGAUACCACUGGGCAAGGUUUGUUUAAUGUUCUAGAAGAGGAGUUGAAUAAUAUUAGCCUUGAUGUGGACAAUGUGAGAGGGCAAGAUAACUUAAAGAAGUUGACUGUCAAGUCAUUGUCAUCUACUCGUUGGGAGAGUCAUGUUCAGAGUGUUAAGGCUAUACGGAUUCAAAUGCCAGAAAUAAGGGAGGCUUUACUACAAGUGGCUGAAACUGAUAAGGAUCCAUUGACAAGUAAUGCAAAAGAAAUUGCACUUGAGAUGGAUAUUCAUCCAGAGUUCCGCACCAAGCGGAAAAUCAAAAGAAGAAGACAAUUCGAUGAGGGUGCAGAUGAUGCAUCUAUUGCUUCACAAUCUGCAGAGGAGUCAUUUAGGGUCAAUUAUUUUCUACAAGUGGUCGAUCAAGCUAUAGUUUCACUUACCAGGAGGUUUGAGCAAUAUCAGGGGUAUGAAAAAACUUUUGGUUUCUUAUUUACUUCAGAUAGGCUGCGAUCUAUGGAUGAUAAGAGUUUGCUGGCUGCUUGUGUUAAUCUUGAGGAUGCACUUAAAAAUGGAGAACACAAAGAUAUUGAUGGAGCUGAAUUGUUUUACGAGUUAAUUUUUAUCCAGGAUUUAGUUAAGAAAUCUAUGGGCCGCGUUGAUAUUCUUGAGAUUCUAAUGAAGCGCCCCUUCUAUCCUAAUGCUAUUAUUGCGUGCAGGAUUUUGUUAACCAUUCCUGUAACUGUUGCAACUGCGGAAAGGAGCUUCUCUAAACUCAAGUUGCUGAAAUCAUAUUUGCGUUCAACUAUGACACAAGAAAGACUCAAUGGUUUGGCGACAAUAGCACUUGAAAAUGAUGUCUUGUCGAAGAUUAAUUAUAAAGAUGUAAUUGAAGAUUUCAUUUCAAGGAACACAAGGCGGAUGACACUUUUCAAUAGAGAAUGA
rnacentral:rRNA from 1 species